rnacentral:lncRNA from 1 species
CCACGUGGCGCCGGCCCUCGGUCACCAGCUGGCCGUCCUUCUUCCACACCGUCUCGGGCUUGGGCUCGCCGGUCACGUAGCAGCUGAGGCGCGCGUGCUUGCCUUCAGUCACCGUGCAGGAGGAAAGAGGGUUUUCAUUCCCUUCUGAAUGUUAGGAGGGAAGGCAUUUUCCAUCCUUGACCAGCUUGUAGAUGACACACAUUCAGCAAACGCACAUCCCAGCAGCACCGAGAGAACACACAGCUGGGUUGCUUACAAAUACACUACUUCAAAGUAAACUUUCUCUAGUAGCAUAUCAGAAGCAAAGUAAAAUCUAUUUGGAGCAAGUAAAUCUGACUGCUACCCCACUAUUUUGAAGCAUACAUGGGAAGCUGGUUCCUGGACCCCCGCAUAUACCAAAAUCUGUGCAUACUCAAGUUCUACGGUCAGCCCUGUGGAACCCAAGCAUAGGACAAGCCGGCCCUCCCUAUACACACAGGUUUGACAUCCUGAGAACACUGCUGGUUCCCUUCCCAUUUGGUUCCAGAAAAUCUGCGUAUAAGUGGACUCAGUGGUGCAAACCUAUGUUGUUCAAGGGUCAACUAUAUAUGAUGAAUUAUUGUUACCUACAGUCACUCUACCAUGCUACUAAACACUAGAACUGAUUCAUUUUCUCUGACUGUGU